UGUGCAGCGGUGGGGUCCCUUGGCCUGGCCUGCACCCUCUCACAAUCUGGGACUUCUCGGGGGAUGUCGGAGAACCGGUUUCAGCCCAAUUGUGCAGGCCAGGCCAAGGGACCCCACUGGUGCAUG
rnacentral:pre_miRNA from 1 species